rnacentral:rRNA from 1 species
AUGCGUGAUCAGGUCGGCAUGGACCUGGACGGCUUCCCACUUGACCACGAGUUUCCGGAUGACUACGGGCAAGAGGAAGAAGACGAGUGCGACAUAGAAGUGGAGCCUUUGUUUGAGGAUGAGCUCGCCAACCAAGCCGCCGGGCCAAAGCCGAAGCGCAAGAGCAAGCGCACGAAGGCAUACAUGGCGGCCGAGGACAAGCUUCUUUACUAG